rnacentral:rRNA from 1 species
AUUGAACGCUGGCGGCAGGCCUAACACAUGCAAGUCGAGCGGAGCGGCGGACGGGUGAGUAAUGCCUAGGAAUCUGCCUGGUAGUGUGGGCUAACGUCCGGAACCGGGCGCUAAUACCGCAUACUAUCAGAUGAGCCUAGGUCGGAUUAGCUAGUUGGUGGGGUAAAGGCCUACCAAGGCGACGAUCCGUAACUGGUCUGAGAGGAUGAUCAGUCCCACUGGAACGGAGACACGGUCCAGACUCCUACGGAAGGCAGCAGUGGGGAAUAUUGGACAAUGGGCGAAAGCCUGAUCCAGCCAUGCGGCGUGUGUGAAGAAGGUCUGCGGAUUGUAAAGCACUUGAAGUUGGGAGGCGUUACCAACAGAAUAAGCACCGGCUAACUUCGUGCCAGAAGCCGCGGUAAUAC